GUGGCGUACGGCUCAGAAACACGUAGUCGACUUACCCUGAGGACGGGGAUAACCUCGGGAAACUGAGGAUAAANUNCCNUAGGCUAUAAUACCUGGAAUGGGUUAUAGCUGAAAUCUACAUGGCCUCAGGAUAGGACUGCGGCCGAUCAGGCUGUUGGCGGGGUAAUGGCCCACCAAACCUAUAACCGGUACGGGCUCUGAGAGGAGGAGCCCGGAGAUGGGCACUGAGACAAGGGCCCAGGUCCUAUGGGGCGCAGCAGGCGCGAAACCUUCGCAAUGGGCGAAAGCCCGACGAGGUUAAUCCGAGUGGCUUCUGCUAAAGGAGUNUUUUGCCAGCUGUAAGGAGGCUGGUGAAUAAAGGGCGGGCAAGUCUGGUGUCAGCCGCCGCGGUAAUACCAGCACCCUGAGUGGUCGGGGCGAUUAUUUGGCCUAAAGCAUCCGUAGUCGGUAUAACAAGUCCUCUGUUAAAUCCACCUGCUUAACAGGUGGGCUGCGG
rnacentral:rRNA from 1 species